UACGUAGGUGGCAAGCGUUGUCCGGAUUUACUGGGCGUAAAGGGCGUGCAGGCGGUUUGUUAAGUCUAGGGUGAAAGCUCCCGGCUCAACUGGGAGAGGUCCUUGGAUACUGGCAGACUUGAGGAGAGUAGAGGAGAGUGGAAUUCCCGGUGUAGUGGUGAUAUGCGUAGAUAUCAGGAGGAACACCGGUGGCGAAGGCGGUUCUCUGGGCAUGUCCUGACGCUGAGGAGCGAAAGUGUGGGGAGCGAACAGG
rnacentral:rRNA from 1 species